rnacentral:rRNA from 1 species
CGUAAAUGACUGUACCCUGGGCGGUAGGGUUUUGGAGAGCCACGGCUAACUACGUGCCAGCAGCGGCGGUAAUACAUAGGGGGCGCAAGUUUUCUGGAAUUAUUUGGCGUAAAGAGCGCGCACGCGGGUCCUUUAAAUGUAAGGUGAGAGCCCACGGCUCUCCCGUGGAGAGUCAUUUUAAAAUGGGGGACUUGAGUGCAGAAAAGAAAAAUGGAAUUUCCAAUGUAUCGGUGAAAUGGUAGAGAUUUGGAGGAACACCAGAGGGGAAAGGGAGUUUUUGGUCUGUAAAAGACACUGAGACGCGAAAGAGUGGGGAGCAAACACGAUUAGAUACCCCCUUAUUGCACACCCUAAACGAUAAGUGCUAAAUGUUAGAGAGUUUCCGCCCCUUAUUGUUGCAAAUAACACAUUAAACACUCCCCCUGGGGAGUACGGUCCCAAGAGUGAAACUCAAAGGAAUUUACGCGGGCCCCCACACACGCUGUAGCACAUGUUUAAUUUGAAGCAACGGGAAGAACCUUACCAGAUCUUUACAUCCCGUUUACCACCUAGAGAUAUGGUUUUCCCUUUGGGGACAAGGGUGACAGGUGGUCAGGGUUUUUAAGG